rnacentral:tRNA from 1 species
GCGUUGGUGGUAUAGUGGCUAGCAUGACUGCCUCAUAAGCAGUUGACCUGGCUUUGAUUCCCAGUCAAUUCA